UACGUAGGUGGCAAGGCGUUUGUCCGGAUUAUUUGGGUUUAAAGGGUGCGUAGGCGGUCUAUUAAGUCAGCGGUGAAAUACUCCAGCUUAACUGGAGGGGUGCCAUUGAUACUGAUGGACUUGAGUCAAGUCGAGGUAGGCGGAAUUGACGGUGUAGCGGUGAAAUGCUUAGAUAUCGUCAAGAACACCAAUAGUGAAGACAGCUUACUGGGGCUUAAAACUGACGCUGAGGCACGAAAAGUGUGGGGGAUCAAAACAGGG
rnacentral:rRNA from 1 species